UCGGGAGGGCCAGCAGUAGGGAAUCUUCCGCAAUGGACGAAAGUCUGACGGAGCAACGCCGCGUGAGUGAUGAAGGUUUUCGGAUCGUAAAGCUCUGUUGUUAGGGAAGAACAAGUACCGUUCGAAUAGGGCGGUACCUUGACGGUACCUAACCAGAAAGCCACGGCUAACUACGUGCCAGCAGCCGCGGUAAUACGUAGGUGGCAAGCGUUGUCCGGAAUUAUUGGGCGUAAAGGGCUCGCAGGCGGUUUCUUAAGUCUGAUGUGAAAGCCCCCGGCUCAACCGGGGAGGGUCAUUGGAAACUGGGGAACUUGAGUGCAGAAGAGGAGAGUGGAAUUCCACGUGUAGCGGUGAAAUGCGUAGAGAUGUGGAGGAACACCAGUGGCGAAGGCGACUCUCUGGUCUGUAACUGACGCUGAGGAGCGAAAGCGUGGGGAGCGAACAGGAUUAGAUACCCUGGUAGUCCACGCCGUAAACGAUGAGUGCUAAGUGUUAGGGGGUUCCGCCCUCUAAGUCUCGUAGGCC
rnacentral:rRNA from 1 species